AAUCUUAUGAACCAAAGAAGGCCUAAAUCUUUUCCCCCUACAGCCGCCUUCCCAAGCUCCUCAUCCCCUCCACUCCCUCGACAAUGGUGGCGGCGGCGCCCUCUGGCGGCGGAGGAGGGGGGAGAUGGUGGCGGCGGCGCCCUCUGGUGGCGGAGGAGGAGGGGGGAGAUGGUGGCGCGGCGGCGACCUUCCCCUCACGCAUCCCAUCCCCCCUCGUCAUCCCGGAUCUCACCGGACCCGAGGCGUGCGGGCGCGGCAGCGACCUGCAAGGGAAGGGCGACGCUCGAAUCGAUCCAGCCAUGGAUCGGUCCCUGCGGGAGAAAGAGAAAAUGAGGACCUCCGUGCUCAACAGGAGGAGCCGGGGUUGCUGAUCCGGCCGGCCCAGAUCCACACGCCUCCUCCUUCGGCCACCUCGCCCCACCAGCUUCCAGCGACGUGGAUCCGCCGAGGAUGGAGGGCAGCAAGUGAGAGGGAGCAGGAGAAGAGGUGAAUCGAGGGAGUGAAAGAAGGAUCUCACAGGGGAAGAGGAAGAAGGAGUCUAGCGGUGUAUCCUCGUCUCAUCCCUGGCUGCACCUCUUCUGAUGCCAUGGCACCAGUGGUGGCUCCUCGAUGGAGCACCUCCUUCCAUGACGGCACCACCAGCGGCUCUUGCUCGACGCCACGAUACACAACAUCGAGGCCACCCCUGAUGCUCAGGCUGAUGCUUCUUCGCUUGAUGCUGAAGAAAAGGAUGAUCAGAUUCAGACGCCCAAGAACAACAGGAACUCCGGUGGUUCAAAGCGAGUUGGGCCAGGGAAGAAAUCAAAGCAGUGACUGUCCUGCACUAACUGUGCAAGGAUCAAAAGCAUAUAGGUGUAGCAAUAAAUUCCCCUCUUAUGCUCAAGUUAAAUUUCUUCACUGAAGAUAUGGUAGGAAGUUACCUUUUGAGUUUGAUUCUUUAAACUAUAGGCCAAUUUGCAUAUUAAUCUUUUUAUUUAUUUUCUUACUACAGUAGCACACUUGCCUAAAUCCCACAUAAGACUGAAUGGUACUCUGCCAUGGUGUUUAAUCUCAGUAAUGUGUCUUGUUUUAUUUUGUCCGCGGUGACUGAGGAUGUGUUCUCGGCUUUGCCGACAGUAAAAAGAAGGCAUACAAAACAUUAAAUUUUUGCCUUGGUUGAAUGCCGCAUUUAAUUGUCGCUUAUGUAUUCAAAGUUAUUCAAUUCUCAUUGAGCUUUCCUUUGCUAAAGAAAUUUAAUACGCAAUAUUUUUAAUAUGUGAGGAGGCGAGAGAAGAAAAGAGGGGUUGUUAGGUCAGACUUUGGUGCGUCUCUGGUCAGAAAUGGCUGGAUCCGUCCGACGCUCUUCCAAACAGUGUAGUGUAGAUUUGCUGACCAGGUACAACAUCUAAACCUUCACUACUCUAGCUUCUUCUUACAUUUCUUAGUAUCAACAAAUAAGGUGGUCACAAUAUAUACUUGAAGAUUGCAUCCCGAGCCAGCUCGGGCCGCUGCUACCUCUUCCUCGCCGCCCAACAGGCCGCCGUGCUGGGGGAGCAGGGUAGCAUCGGGUCCACAGGCACUCUAAAGCCGAGUAAAAUCCUUGCAUUCGUAUUAUUCACUUUCAGUAUGCAAACUUCUCUUUCCAAGUUUGAGAGAACAAGAAGCCAGCGUCGAGGAAGCCUUGGGGUGUGAAAAGCAUAGUAACAAUAUAUCUGGGCUGCGACGUAUAUUGUUAUGAAACUUUACUGUAAUUACGAUUUCCUAUUAUAGCUCAUAUGAAGAAUUAUUUGCUGCUUUUACAUUUGCUUAUUUUAUUAACUUUUACUAGGAUAUGAGUAGCAUUACUCAAAAUUUUGCUUUGAGAAGAAUCUAAUGAUGUAUCCAAUUUCACAUCCAAGCUACUAUGAAUAUUAUGAUUGAGCGACUGCUUGGCGAUGUCAUCGUCAGAGGCUCAGGCCUCCUCCCUGGACAAGGCACUCGUGCUAGGCGGAGGCGAUCUGUGCGCCGGUUCAAGAGGCGGUAAGACGGUCGCAAGAAUGCCAAGCUCUUCAGCUGUGGCAUCAUGCAAUAAUGGAAUUGAGCAUUCUGGGCAAAACAUAAAGGACAACGAAUAUGCAAGGUUGGUGACACCAGCUGAACAUGCAACAGCUGACAAGAAAUUUUGCGUGAGCAACCAAAGUUAAGACACUUCAUUUGGUGAAUGAAAGUUUUGCUUGGAUGCUUCCAUCUUAUAUUAGCAUCUUAUAUCUUCGUGAAAUUUGGAGCCCCUUUGCCUUUGAAAAUGGUAGUGGUACUCUCUCUGCUGUGGCUGCGUGUUCGACCGGCCAGCCAAGGAUCUCCAGCAAGCAUGUGCUCCUACUCUCCUUGCCCUUAAUUCCUGCCACAACAGCAGCUCCUGUGUAGUGUGAGCCAGAGAACUACUACACUAAUCAUGUUCCUGGCCUAGCAUGUGACAGUGGUGCCGCGAGGAUUUGCUGCCGUGGGAGGAGGGGCCCGACCCAGAUGGCGGCCACCAGUAGGUCACACACUUAUUCAGCUCGCCGUCUGGUUACUCUGAUGGCUUCUCUAAGGUAUCUUCUCGUGCAGCUUCACUCUUGCUUGUGUGUCUUGUUUGAAAAAGUAAGCUACCUGGCACUUGCUCUACUCUGCUUUAGCAGGCGCUCGCAGAGGAGGCCAAGGGAUACAUGAUACUGAAUAAUCUCAGACCUGUUUAAAUAACUUAGUGUUUGGCUAAGGAGUCCGCAUUGAACGCCACAUAUCCGAUGCCAACACACCGAGGUUAUACUCCAAUCAAACAUGUGAAUAUUUACUUCAAGAUCGAUCCGACGAAAGCCGUCCACUGCCGCUCUGCUGUUGGGACUAAUUUGGACGGGAAUGGUGAUUUCAUGGUGAUUAUGAUUACUUGGUUGUUGCUCUUGGAGUUACUGUGAAUACAUUCAACACUCCUGGUGUGAUGGGGCAUUGCCACUUUCUGAAGGUCGUGGAGGAUGCCCGAAAGAUUCGGAAGAGCGUGAUAGACUGCUUUGAAAAGGCGUCACCUCCUAACCUCAGUGAAGAGGAGAGAAGGAAGAUCCUUCACUUUGUGAUUAUCGGUGGUGGACCUACUGGGGUUGAAUUUGCGGUGGAGUUGCAUGAUUUUCUUGUCGAAGAUCUGGUGAAGCUAUAUCCUGCAAUUGAAGAAUUUGUGAAGAUAACAAUUAUGCAAUCAGGAGAACAUAUAAUGAGGGUUGAAUGUUCCUGCAGUAAUAACCUUAGUUUUGGGCAAGAUGAUCAAGGAGUAGCGAAACUUUAGCAGUCAUCUUUGGCUUCACCAUCUUCCUCCCCUGAUCAUGCAUCUAUUCUAGAUCAUAUAAUUAUGCUAUAUCAUAUAUAUUGUUUAGUUCAGACUUGUGCAUGUGCGUGCAUUGGCAUUGAUUUAUAGAGAUAUUGCAUGAUUUGUACAUAAAAGGAGUACCGAUGAUCUAAGAAUAAAUGUUCGAAUAAAGUUAGUAGUGAGAUUUAGGUAGAGGUUACCUGCACUGUUCUGUUUUAUGUAGAUUCUAAGCUGCAAAAUCAUACAUGGCCCUGUUAGUAGUUUGUCUGA